rnacentral:rRNA from 1 species
UACGGAGGGUGCGAGCGUUGUCCGGAAUCACUGGGCGUAAAGGGCGCGUAGGCGGCCCGCGCAAGCGUGCGGUGAAAGCCCGGGGCUCAACCCCGGGUCGGCCGUGCGGACUGCGGGGCUCGAGCACUGUAGGGGCAGAUGGAAUUCCGGGUGUAGCGGUGGAAUGCGUAGAGAUCCGGAAGAACACCGGUGGCGAAGGCGGUCUGCUGGGCAGUAGCUGACGCUGAGGCGCGAAAGCCAGGGGAGCAAACGGG